UGGAGAUCCCCUUCUCAUUUCCUCCUUGGGGCUGUGCUCUGCUGCCAGGAUGGCUCAGUGGAAGCUGACACAGGCAGCAGGAGUUGCUGCUCCUGAGCACAUGUAAUGUGUUCUCUUCUACCUUCCAUGGCAUCACUUAUCCUUCUCAGAUACUUGAAGCAGCAACCAGUGGAAGCUGAACUGGUAAAAAUCAAGGAACAUUCUUGGCAGCAGAAACUUCUGCUUCAGGAGCCAGGUUGAGGGAGAGUACAGUACAGCACCAGAAUGAAAACAAAGUUCUGCUUUUCUCUGAGCCUCCUCAGGCUCACCUGAGUAGGGAAUGAGAAAACGUGGAAUUCCUCUCUUCGUGCCAAGAAACAUGCUGGGCAGUCACUGUGGUUUGAAGCCAAAGCUGAUGAGAACUGAUUGUGUGAUUCGAGGGAAGAAUUCCUCUGGGGAGGUAUUUAGCCCUGCAAAGAAACUCGGGACAAGCAGGAUGUUCCCGUAGGCAGGAAGGAAUGGGGAACUACGCAAGGCAUGAGCGCCUCUGGUCACGAGCCACCAAAUAGGAAGAUGAGAGAGGAAGCAAAGUGCAUUGUAUGGGGUGAUGGAGCUCUAAAAUAGGAGCUGACUUUAACUGAGAACCAUGAUGGAAUUAAAAGAAAACCCACAUUUGUUUGGCAGUACUGUUGAUAUUGGGAACCAGGUAUUUUAAUUCAAAGCCACCUCUCCAUCAUUCCACAAGCUCUGCUGUGCUCUGUGAGACAGCCUUGAGCAUGAACUCCACUUCUCUGUGGCUUAGUUUUGAUUGUCACUGUAGCAUUUUAUCUCUUUAUGAAAAUUGUUGUAAUCAGAGUGUCCUAGACCCUUUCCCUGCAGUUUGAAGGUAAACUGGGAAUGUGGAUUAUUGGUGCAUUUUGGAGGGGAAAUUCUCUGAUAAUAAGAAGUGAAAGGUUUGGAAGUAGCAAGAG